AACGCACAUUGCGCCCGCCAGUAUUCUGGCGGGCAUGCCUGUCCGAGCGUCAUUUCAACCCUCGAGCCCCCCCCGGGGGGUCCGGCGUUGGGGAUCGGCUGCCGAAGAUAGUAGGCUGCCGGCCCCGAAAUGCAGUGGCGGUCUCGCCGCAGCCUCUCCUGCGCAGUAGCUUGCACGCUCGCAACGGGAGCGCGGCGCGUCCACGGCCGUGAAACGACCCAAUCUUUCCGAAAGGUUGACCUCGGAUCAGGUAGGAAUACCCGCUGAACUUAA
rnacentral:misc_RNA from 1 species